rnacentral:rRNA from 1 species
UACGAAGGGGGCUAGCGUUGCUCGGAAUGACUGGGCGUAAAGGGCGCGCAGGCGGCUCAUUUUGUCAGGCGUGAAAGCCCCGGGCUUAACCUGGGAACUGCGUUUGAUACGGAUGGGCUAGAGUUCGGGAGAGGAGCGUGGAAUUCCCAGUGUAGAGGUGAAAUUCGUAGAUAUUGGGAAGAACACCGGUGGCGAAGGCGGCGCUCUGGACCGAGACUGACGCUGAGGCGCGAAAGCGUGGGGAGCAAACAGG